rnacentral:rRNA from 1 species
UCCUACGGGACGCAGCAGUGGGGAAUAUUGCACAAUGGGGGAAACCCUGAUGCAGCGACGCCGCGUGAGCGAUGAAGUAUCUCGGUAUGUAAAGCUCUAUCAGCAGGGAAGAAAGCGACAGUACCUGACUAAGAAGCCCCGGCUAACUACGCGCCAGCAGCCGCGGUAAUACGUAGGGGGCAAGCGUUAUCCGGAUUUACUGGGUGUAAAGGGAGCGUAGACGGCGGAACAAGUCAGAAGUGAAAACCCGGGGCUCAACCCUGGGAGUGCUUUUGAAACUGUUUGGCUGGAGUGCAGGAGAGGUA